AACGAACGCUGGCGGCAGGCUUAACACAUGCAAGUCGAACGCAUCCUUCGGGGUGAGUGGCAGACGGGUGAGUAACGCGUGGGAACGUGCCCUUCAGUUCGGGAUAACCCAGGGCAACUUGGGCUAAUACCGGAUACGUGCGAGAGCAGAAAGAUUUAUCGCUGAAGGAUCGUCCCGCGUCUGUCUAGCUAGUUGGUGGGGUAAUGGUCCCCCAAGGCGACGAUCAGUAGCUGGUCUGCGAGGAUGAUCAGCCACAUUGGGACUGAGACACGGCCCGAGCACCUACGGGAGGGAGCAGUGGUGAAUAUUGGACAAUGGGCGCAAGACUGAUCCGGCCAUGCCGCGUGAGUAAUGAAGGCCUUAGGGUUGUAAAGCUCUUUCGUCCGGGACGAUAAUGACGGUACCGGAAGAAGAAGCCCCGGCUAACUUCGUGCCAGCCGCCGCCGUAA
rnacentral:rRNA from 1 species